UACGGAGGGUGCGAGCGUUAAUCGGAAUUACUGGGCGUAAAGCGCGCGUAGGCGGUUUGGUCAGUCGAUUGUGAAAGCCCUGGGCUUAACCUGGGAAUUGCAGUCGAUACUGCCUGACUAGAAUGUGGGAGAGGGAAGUGGAAUUUCCGGUGUAGCGGUGAAAUGCGUAGAUAUCGGAAGGAACACCAGUGGCGAAGGCGGCUUCCUGGCCCAACAUUGACGCUGAGGUGCGAAAGCGUGGGGAGCGAACAGG
rnacentral:rRNA from 1 species